AGUGAACGCUGGCGGUAGGCCUAACACAUGCAAGUCGAACGGCAGCACAGUAAGAGCUUGCUCUUACGGGUGGCGAGUGGCGGACGGGUGAGGAAUACAUCGGAAUCUACUUUUUCGUGGGGGAUAACGUAGGGAAACUUACGCUAAUACCGCAUACGACCUACAGGUGAAAGCAGGGGAUCUUCGGACCUUGCGCGAUUGAAUGAGCCGAUGUCGGAUUAGCUAGUUGGCGGGGUAAAGGCCCACCAAGGCGACGAUCCGUAGCUGGUCUGAGAGGAUGAUCAGCCACACUGGAACUGAGGCACGGUCCAGACUCCUACGGGAGGCAGCAGUGGGGAAUAUUGGACAAUGGGCGCAAGCCUGAUCCAGCCAUACCGCGUGGGUGAAGAAGGCCUUCGGGUUGUAAAGCCCUUUUGUUGGGAAAGAAAAGCAGCAGGUUAAUACCCCGCUGUUCUGACGGUACCCAAAGAAUAAGCACCGGCUAACUUCGUG
rnacentral:rRNA from 1 species